GAUGAACGCUAGCUACAGGCUUAACACAUGCAAGUCGAGGGACCGGCGUACGGGUGAGUAACGCGUAUCCAACCUUCCCAUUACUGUGGGAUAACCUGCCGUACGGCAGACUAAUACAGCAUAGUAAUGGAUAGGGAUGCGUGUGAUUAGCUUGUUGGCGGGGUAAAGGACCACCAAGGGGACGAAAAGUAGGGGUUCUGAGAGGAAGGUCGCAAGCAUGGGAACUCAGACACGGCUCAGACUCCUACUGGAGGUAGGAAUGAGGAAUAUGGUGCAAAGGCCGGAGAUCGUAAACAGCCAAGUAGCGUGCAGGAUGACGGCCUGUAGGUUGUAAUCUGCUGUUGUAUGUGGCUAGGCACCAUAUAAAUAUGGCCCGGCUAAUCCGGUGCCAGCAGCCGCGGUAAUAC
rnacentral:rRNA from 1 species